rnacentral:rRNA from 1 species
UUGAACGCUGGCGGCAUGCCUUACACAUGCAAGUCGAACGGUAGAGGGGCAACCCUUGAGAGUGGCGAACGGGUGAGUAAUGCAUCGGAACGUGCCCAGUCGUGGGGGAUAACGCAGCGAAAGCUGUGCUAAUACCGCAUGUGAUCUGUGGAUGAAAGCAGGGGACCACAAGGCCUUGUGCGAUUGGAGCGGCCGAUGUCAGAUUAGCUAGUUGGUAGGGUAAAAGCCUACCAAGGCGACGAUCUGUAGCUG